UACGGAGGGUGCAAGCGUUAUCCGGAUUUACUGGGUUUAAAGGGUGUGUAGGCGGGCCUUUAAGUCUGGGGUGAAAUCUCCGAGCUCAACUCGGAAACUGCACUGGAUACUAUUGGUCUUGAAUUAUGUUGAGGUUGGCGGAAUAUAACAUGUAGCGGUGAAAUGCAUAGAUAUGUUAUAGAACACCGAUUGCGAAGGCAGCUAACUAAGCAUAUAUUGACGCUGAGGCACGAAAGCGUGGGGAGCAAACAGG
rnacentral:rRNA from 1 species